rnacentral:rRNA from 1 species
CUAACUAUAAACGAUGCCGACUAGGGAUCGGUGGGCGUUAAUAUAAGAUUGUCUUAGGUUAUUUUUUUACUUUUAUUUUUUUUUAAAAUAAAAGUUCUAAAAUGUCUUUGACAAGAAAUGACCCCAUCGGCACCUCAAUUUGAUACUUCUCAAUGGGAAACCAAAGUUUUUGGGUUCCGGGGGGAGUAUGGUCGCAAGGCUGAAACUUAAAGGAAUUGACGGAAGGGCACCACCAGGAGUGGAGUUUGCGGCUUAAUUUGACUCAACGCGGGAAAACUCACCAGGCCCAGACAUGGUAAGGAUUGACAGAUUGAGAGCUCUUUCUUGAUUCCAUGAAAGGUGGCGCAUGGCCGUUCUUAGUUGGUGGAGUGAUUUGUCUGGUUAAUUCCGUUAACGAACGAGACCUUGGCCUGCUAACUAGGGGGGGUUAUCGUUUGGAUAAGUUAGCAGAGUUGGUUUUGCUUUUUUAUCUUCGGAUAGAAGGGUUAAAAUCAACUGUUGUUACUUGUUCAUAUUUUGCGAUAGCACCUAAGAUUUAAAAAAUCUUUCAACCCUUUUUUGGUCUUAAGGGAAGAGGGAAGUUUUCUUUUGGGAUUUAUUUUCCAAUUGGAGGCUUCUCAUCAAAAUCUUUCUUUUUGAUUGAAGAAGGAAAAAUCCUUCUUAGAGGGACUAUCUGCGUUUUUACAACUAGCAGAUGGAAGCUCGAGGCAAUAACAGGUCUGUGAUGCCCUUAGAUGUCCUGGGCUGCACGCGUACUACACUGACGAAUUCAACAAGUGAUUUAAAUUUGAUUGAGCUACUUACUUUGUUUUCCUUCGGGAGGAUGAGGAGAGAGGGCUUUUUCAAAAACCUUGGCAGAAAUGUCUGGGUAAUCUCCUUAAAGUUCGUCGUGCUAGGGAUAGAUGAUUGUAAUUAUU